UUCCCAGAACUCGGGUAUUAAUGACCCGGAGCCACAUGACAGAGCAUGACACAGCACUUUUGGGCGCAAGGCAGGGCCCAGAGGGGUGCGUGGGGGGCCACAGCCCAGCCCCCUGGAGGCCAGCUGGCCGGACCUACUAUGUGCCAGGCACCAGACCAAGCGCUGGGGACGGCACAGCUCAUACGAAGCUGCCCGCUGUGAUGGGAGAGGUGGCGCGGCGUGGCAAGCGGUGAAGAACACAGAAGCCGAGCCAGAAGUCCUGGCUUUGCUCCUGACCUGCCUCUCAUCAACUGUGUGACUUUGCCUUACCUCUCUGAGCCUUUUCUGUCAAAUGGAAUAACUUACGGUACCCACCUUGUGGGGCUGUUCUAA